rnacentral:rRNA from 1 species
ACUGCUCAGUAACACGUGGCUAAUCUGCCCUUAGGACGAGAACAACCCCGGGAAACUGGGGCUAACUCUUGAUAGGUGAAGAACUCUGGAAUGAGUCUUUGCCUAAAAAGAUUCACGUUAUCCUCGUGAAUUUGCCUAAGGAUGAGGCCGCGACCGAUCAGGUUGUUGGCGAGGUAAUGGCUCACCAAGCCUUUUACCGGUGCGGGCCGUGGGAGCGGGAGCCCGGAGAUGGGUACUGAGACAAGGACCCAGGCCCUACGGGGCGCAGCAGUCGCGAAACCUUUGCAAUAAGCGAAAGCUUGACAGGGUUAUCCCGAGUGCCAUCCGCUGAGGAAGGCUUUUACCCAGUCUAGAACGCUGGGGGAAUAAGGAGAGGGCAAGUCUGGUAUCAGCCGCCGCGGUAAUACCAGCUCUCCGAGUGGUGUGGAUGUUUAUUGGGCCUAAAGCAUCCGUAGCUGGCUAGGUAAGUCCCUUGUUAAAUCCACCGAAUUAAUCGUUGGAUCGCGGGGGAUACUGCUUGGCUAGGGGACGAGAGAGGCAGACGGUA